AAUCCUACGGGGCGCAGCAGUGGGGAAUAUUGCACAAUGGGGGAAACCCUGAUGCAGCAACGCCGCGUGAAGGAAGACGGUUUUCGGAUUGUAAACUUCUUUUCUUAGUGACGAAGCAAGUGACGGUAGCUAAGGAAUAAGCAUCGGCUAACUACGCGCCAGCAGCCGCGGUCAUACGUAGGAUGCGAGCGUUAUCCGGAAUUACUGGGUGUAAAGGGAGCGCAGGCGGGACUGCCCGUUUGCUUU
rnacentral:rRNA from 1 species